rnacentral:rRNA from 1 species
GAUGAACGCUGGCGGCGUGCCUAAUACAUGCAAGUCGAGCGAACGGACGAGAAGCUUGCUUCUCUGAUGUUAGCGGCGGACGGGUGAGUAACACGUGGAUAACCUACCUAUAAGACUGGGAUAACUUCGGGAAACCGGAGCUAAUACCGGAUAAUAUUUUGAACCGCAUGGUUCAAAAGUGAAAGACGGUCUUGCUGUCACUUAUAGAUGGAUCCGCGCUGCAUUAGCUAGUUGGUAAGGUAACGGCUUACCAAGGCAACGAUGCAUAUCCGACCUGAGAGGGUGAUCGGCCACACUGGAACUGAGGCACGGUCCAGACUCCUACGGGAGGCAGCAGUAGGGAAUCUUCCGCAAUGGGCGAAAGCCUGACGGAGCAACGCCGCGUGAGUGAUGAAGGUCUUCGGAUCGUAAAACUCUGUUAUUAGGGAAGAACAUAUGUGUAAGUAACUGUGCACAUCUUGACGGUACCUAAUCAGAAAGCCACGGCUAACUACGUG